GUUUGAUCCUGGCUCAGGACGAACGCUGGCGGCGUGCCUAAUACAUGCAAGUCGAACGAGGCCGACCUUUGGGUCACAUGGUCGAGUGGCGAACGGGUGAGUAACACGUGAGAAACCUGCCCCAAAGAUCGGGAUAACCCAGGGAAACCCGGGCUAAUACCGGAUACCCCCAUCGGAUCGCAUGGUCUGAUGAGGAAAUGCUUUUGUGCUUUGGGAGGGUCUCGCGGCCUAUCAGCUAGUUGGUGAGGUAAUGGCUCACCAAGGCAUCGACGGGUAGCUGGUCUGAGAGGACGAUCAGCCACACUGGGACUGAGACACGGCCCAGACUCCUACGGGAGGCAGCAGUAGGGAAUCUUGCGCAAUGGGCGAAAGCCUGACGCAGCAACGCCGCGUGGGGGAUGAAGGCUCUCGGGUUGUAAACCCCUUUCAGCAGGGAAGAAAAUGACGGUACCUGCAGAAGAAGCCCCGGCCAACUACGUGCCAGCAGCCGCGGUAAUAAGGGCGAAUU
rnacentral:rRNA from 1 species